rnacentral:lncRNA from 1 species
GUUUUUUGUUAUUAUUUUGAACAUUUUAGAUAGAGAUAAACUGUAAACAGCAAUAAUGUACAGCAAAGUAAGACCUUAAAAUAAGUCAACAUGACCAAAAUGACCAAAAUGGUCAAUUGACCCCCUAAGGAGUUAUUGUCUUUUAUAGUCAAUUUUUAACAAUUUCAUAAAAUUUGUAAAUUUUUACUAACAUUUUCCACUGAAACUACUGGGCCAAGUUUAUUAUAGAUAGAGAUAAUUGUAAGCAGCAAGAAUGUUCAGUAAAGUAAGAUGUACAAACACAUCACCAUCACCAAAGCACAAUUUUGUCAUGAAUCCAUCUGCGUCCUUUGUUUAAUAUUCACAUAGACCAAGGUGAGCGACACAGUCUCUUAAGAGCCUCUAGUUUU